GAUGAACGCUGACAGAAUGCUUAACACAUCCGCAAUUGAUUGGUGGCGGACGGGUGCGUAACGCGUAAAGAACUUGCCUCACAGCUAGGGACAACAUUUAGAAAUGAAGGCUAAUACCUGAAACUGUGAGAGAGCUUUGCGUCCCAUUAGCUAGUUGGAGAGGUAACAGCUCACCAAGGCGAUGAUGGGUAGCCGGCCUGAGAGGGUGACGGGCCACAAGGGGACUGAGACACGGCCCGUACUCGUACGGGAGGCAGCAGUGGGGAAUAUUGGACAAUGGACCGAAGUCUGAUCCAGAAAUUCUGUGUGCACGAUGAAGUUUUCGGAAUGUAAAGUGCUGUCAGUUGGGAAGCGGUACCAACAGAAGAAGUAACGGCUAAAUACGUGCCAGCAGCCGCGGUAAUUC
rnacentral:rRNA from 1 species